UCUUAGUGUAUUGUAGUAGAUAUACUAGAUAUUAUUUUAAUUAAUUGCUCCUUAAUAUCAUCGACCAUGUUCUUCAAGAUCCCCAAAUGCAUUAGUCGCCACACGCCACAUCUCUCUUUUGACCACUCUAUUUGACAAAUCCUUUAGACUGAGACAGUUCAAAUAUUGUGACUAGUAUAGUUUCAAUAUCAUUUGAUAUGUUAUCAGCUGGGUCUAUUGUUCACUUUGACAGUAACAUUAAAAAGAGGUGAGAGAAAGGACGCA
rnacentral:lncRNA from 1 species